UACGUAGGGUGCGAGCGUUGUCCGGAAUUAUUGGGCGUAAAGAGCUCGUAGGCGGUCUGUCGCGUCUGCUGUGAAAACUCGGGGCUUAACCCCGGGCCUGCAGUGGGUACGGGCAGACUAGAGUGCGGUAGGGGAGACUGGAAUUCCUGGUGUAGCGGUGAAAUGCGCAGAUAUCGGGAGGAACACCAAUGGCGAAGGCAGCUCGCUGGGACGGUACUGACGCUGAGGCGCGAAAGCGUGGGAAGCGAACAGG
rnacentral:rRNA from 1 species